rnacentral:tRNA from 1 species
GUUCUURUAGUUAAAGCUCUAACGGUGGCUUUUCAGGCCAUAGAUCUUGGAUAGAAACCGAGCAAGAAU